rfam:Oryza nivara chromosome 12, whole genome shotgun sequence.
AAAAAAGACAAACCUGAGUUGACAUGUCCAACGUUUGACUGUCCGUCUUUUAUGAAAUUUUUUUAUAAUUAGUAUUUUUAUUGUUGUUAGAUGAUAAAAUAUGAUAGUAAUACUUUAUACGUGACUUGUCUGUUUAAUUUUUUUAUAAUUUUUUUAAAUAAGACGGACGGUCAAACGUUGGACACAGAAAUCUAGGGUUUGUCUUUUU